rnacentral:rRNA from 1 species
AAUACCUUAGGUACGGCGAGUGAAGCGGUAAAAGCUCAAAUUUGAAAUCUGGUACUUUCAGUGCCCGAGUUGUAAUUUGUAGAAUUUGUCUUUGAUUAGGUCCUUGUCUAUGUUCCUUGGAACAGGACGUCAUAGAGGGUGAGAAUCCCGUUUGGCGAGGAUACCUUUUCUCUGUAAGACUUUUUCGAAGAGUCGAGUUGUUUGGGAAUGCAGCUCAAAGUGGGUGGUAAAUUCCAUCUAAAGCUAAAUAUUGGCGAGAGACCGAUAGCGAACAAGUACAGUGAUGGAAAGAUGAAAAGAACUUUGAAAAGAGAGUGAAAAAGUACGUGAAAUUGUUGAAAGGGAAGGGCAUUUGAUCAGACAUGGUGUUUUUUGCAUGCACUCGCCUCUCGUGGGCUUGGGCCUCUCAAAAAUUUCACUGGGCCAACAUCAAUUCUGGCAGCAGGAUAAAUCAUUAAGAAUGUAGCUACUUCGGUAGUGUUAUAGCUUUUUGGAAUACUGUUAGCCGGGAUUGAGGACUGCGCUUCGGCAAGGAUGUUGGCAUAAUGGUUAAGUGCCGCCCGUCUUGACACAGGGACCUACA